UUUUUUUUGUUUCUUUGGUUUGCUAUAACUUUAAUUUUGAAUUAGAAUUUAAAUGUUUCUCUUUCCUCCAUUUAUCUCAAACUAGGGAGAGUGCUAUGACUGGCUGAUAUUCACAUUCUCAUUUCAUUCCUUAUUUAGGGGGUGUAUUCAAUUAAGAUUUUUAAAGACUUUUUUUAAGUGACAUACUUUUGUAGAAUUUGUGGGAUUUUAAUGACUUUCAAAGACUUUAAAGACUCUUUUAAAAUGACUUUUAUAGACUCUAUAAAAUAAGUAACAGACUUUUAUAAACUUUUUAGCAAGACUGUGAUAGACUUUUGUAUACUUCUAAUAUAUCUUGCAACUUAUAUUAAUUGUUAAUUAGCCCAUGUGUACAACAUCGCUCUCUUUUUUCAUGAACUAUAUUAAAUCUCAUUAUAUUAUUGUGGCAUGAGAUUUUAUAUAUGUUGAAAGCGUUCAUAUUAUUCUACUCAUUUCAUAAUACAUUUGGAUACUCGGAUACCAAUAAAACUUUAGAAACUACAGACGCA
rnacentral:lncRNA from 1 species